GACGAACGCUGGCGGCGUGCUUAACACAUGCAAGUCGAACGGAAAGGCCCUGAUUUUGUGGGUUGCUCGAGUGGCGAACGGGUGAGUAACACGUGAGUAACCUGCCCUUGACUUUGGGAUAACUUCAGGAAACUGGGGCUCAUACCGGAUAGGAGCUCCUGCUGCAUGGUGGGGGUUGGAAAGUUUCGGCGGUUGGGGAUGGACUCGCGGCUUAUCAGCUUGUUGGUGGGGUAGUGGCUUACCAAGGCUUUGACGGGUAGCCGGCCUGAGAGGGUGAACGGCCACCAUGGGACUGCGGUACGCCGCAGUCGCGUAUGGGACGCAGCAGUGGGGAAUAUUGCAGAGUGGGCGGAAGCCUGAUGUAGAAAUGCUGCGUGCGGAAUGACGGGUUACGGGGUGAAAACCGCUGUGGACGGUAAUGAGGCGGGAGUGACGGUAACGAGUAAAGAAGCAACGGCUAACUACGUG
rnacentral:rRNA from 1 species